CUACGGGGGGCUCCAGUGGGGAAUUUUGGACAAUGGGCGCAAGCCUGAUCCAGCAAUGCCGCGUGCAGGAAGAAGGCCUUCGGGUUGUAAACUGCUUUUGUACGGAACGAAACGGUCUGGGUUAAUACCCUGGGCUAAUGACGGUACCGUAAGAAUAAGCACCGGCUAACUACGUGCCAGCAGCCGCGGUAAUACGUAGGGUGCAAGCGUUAAUCGGAAUUACUGGGCGUAAAGCGUGCGCAGGCGGUUUUGUAAGACAGGCGUGAAAUCCCCGGGCUCAACCUGGGAAUUGCGCUUGUGACUGCAAAGCUGGAGUGCGGCAGAGGGGGAUGGAAUUCCGCGUGUAGCAGUGAAAUGCGUAGAUAUGCGGAGGAACACCGAUGGCGAAGGCAAUCCCCUUGGCCUGCACUGACGCUCAUGCACGAAAGCGUGGGGAGCAAACAGGAUUAGAUACCCCAGUAGUC
rnacentral:rRNA from 1 species